rnacentral:sRNA from 2 species
GGCAAUCGUGCGCCGAGCUUCCCCGCCAGUCGGGGAAGGCGGGGAACCCAACCGCGACCGAUCCCGGUCGCAGCGGCCGAAAGUGGCCGCCGGGGUGAAUCCGGCGGUGAUCCGUCGGUAGGCCGGUCCAGGAAGGCCCGGACGAAUCCGUCAGCUAACUCCGCAGGCGCCUGAAAAGGAGAA